rnacentral:rRNA from 1 species
CUGGGCGUAAGGUGCGCAGGCGGUUGUGCACAUCUGUGUUGAACCCCGGGCUUAACCUGGGAAUUGGCUUGGAGACUGCACGGCUUGAGUGCGGGAGAGGGAGGUGGAAUUCCUGGUGUAGCGGUGAAAUGCGUAGAGAUGUGGAGGAACACCGAUGGCGAAGGCACCCUCCUGGACUGGAACUGACGCUCAUGCGCGAAAGCGUGGGGAGCAAACAGGAUUAGAUACCCUGGUAGUCCACGCCCUAAACGAUGACCACUAGGUGUUGGGGGUUUCUUUCCUUUGUAAGCCAACUCACACGUGAUUUUUACCCCCCGGGGAGAACGGUCGCACGAUUUUAACUCUCAGGAGUUUGACGG